GGGUUCCUGCGCAACGUUAAUCGACGCAGGGUUAGUCGGUUCCUAAGGCGAGGCUGAAAAGCGUAGUCGAUGGGAAACAGGUUAAUAUUCCUGUACUUCUGGUUACUGCGAUGGAGGGACGGAGAAGGCUAGGCCAGCUUGGCGUUGGUUGUCCAAGUUUAAGGUGGUAGGCUGAAAUCUUAGGUAAAUCCGGGGUUUCAAGGCCGAGAGCUGAUGACGAGUCGUCUUUUAGAUGACGAAGUGGUUGAUGCCAUGCUUCCAAGAAAAGCUUCUAAGCUUCAGGUAACCAGGAACCGUACCCCAAACCGACACAGGUGGUCGGGUAGAGAAUACCAAGGCGCUUGAGAGAACUCGGGUGAAGGAACUAGGCAAAAUGGCACCGUAACUUCGGGAGAAGGUGCGCCGGCUAGGGUGAAGGAUUUACUCCGUAAGCUCUGGCUGGUCGAAGAUACCAGGCCGCUGCAACUGUUUAUUAAAAACACAGCACUCUGCAAACACGGAAGUGGACGUAUAGGGUGUGACGCCUCCCCGGUGCCGGAAGGUUAAUUGAUGGGGUUAGCGCAAGCGAAGCUCUUGAUCGAAGCCCCGGUAAACGGCGGCCGUAACAAUAACGGUCCUAAGGUAGCGAAAUUCCUUGUCGGGUAAGUUCCGACCUGCACGAAUGGCGUAACGAUGGCGGCGCUGUCUCCACCCGAGACUCAGUGAAAUUGAAAUCGCUGUGAAGAUGCAGUGUAUCCGCGGCUAGACGGAAAGACCCCGUGAACCUUUACUGUAGCUUUGCACUGGACUUUGAGCCUGCUUGUGUAGGAUAGGUGGGAGGCUUUGAAGCGUGGACGCCAGUUCGCGUGGAGCCAUCCUUGAAAUACCACCCUGGCAUGCUUGAGGUUCUAACUCUGGUCCGUAAUCCGGAUCGAGGACAGUGUAUGGUGGGCAGUUUGACUGGGGCGGUCUCCUCCUAAAGAGUAACGGAGGAGUACGAAGGUGCGCUCAGACCGGUCGGAAAUCGGUCGCAGAGUAUAAAGGCAAAAGCGCGCUUGACUGCGAGACAGACACGUCGAGCAGGUACGAAAGUAGGUCUUAGUGAUCCGGUGGUUCUGUAUGGAAGGGCCAUCGCUCAACGGAUAAAAGGUACUCCGGGGAUAACAGGCUGAUACCGCCCAAGAGUUCAUAUCGACGGCGGUGUUUGGCACCUCGAUGUCGGCUCAUCACAUCCUGGGGCUGAAGCCGGUCCCAAGGGUAUGGCUGUUCGCCAUUUAAAGUGGUACGCGAGCUGGGUUUAGAACGUCGUGAGACAGUUCGGUCCCUAUCUGCCGUGGACGUUUGAGAUUUGAGAGGGGCUGCUCCUAGUACGAGAGGACCGGAGUGGACGAACCUCUGGUGUUCCGGUUGUCACGCCAGUGGCAUUGCCGGGUAGCUAUGUUCGGAAAAGAUAACCGCUGAAAGCAUCUAAGCGGGAAACUUGCCUCAAGAUGAGAUCUCACUGGGAACUUGAUUCCCCUGAAGGGCCGUCGAAGACUACGACGUUGAUAGGCUGGGUGUGUAAGCGUUGUGAGGCGUUGAGCUAACCAGUACUAAUUGCCCGUGAGGCUUGACCU
rnacentral:rRNA from 1 species